ACAUGCAAGUCGAACGAUGAUCCCAGCUUGCUGGGGGAUUAGUGGCGAACGGGUGAGUAACACGUGAGUAACCUGCCCUUGACUCUGGGAUAAGCCUGGGAAACUGGGUCUAAUACCGGAUACGACCAUUCCACGCAUGUGGUGGUGGUGGAAAGCUUUUGUGGUUUUGGAUGGACUCGCGGCCUAUCAGCUUGUUGGUGGGGUAAUGGCCUACCAAGGCGACGACGGGUAGCCGGCCUGAGAGGGUGACCGGCCACACUGGGACUGAGACACGGCCCAGACUCCUACGGGAGGCAGCAGUGGGGAAUAUUGCACAAUGGGCGCAAGCCUGAUGCAGCGACGCCGCGUGAGGGAUGACGGCCUUCGGGUUGUAAACCUCUUUCAGUAGGGAAGAAGCGUAAGUGACGGUACCUGCAGAAGAAGCGCCG
rnacentral:rRNA from 1 species